CAGUGCCUCAGCUCUCGGUCUCCGUCCUCCCGGAGUGCAGCUGUACAGAAGCAUCAAUAAAGAGAAGAGGACUGGGACACAAGAAAAUGUGACCAGGAAGUUCGUCACUGAGCCAACACGAUUGGCUGGACAAAGGUCUUGAUUAACAAACCAAAGAGACUUGGUAGAUGCCUCCCAGACCACCACAUUCAUUCCUCUCAAGUUUGUGCUUUAUGAUGCAAAAUGUAAAUGAGUGUGUUUCUGAGUUGUAUGCCUAUCAUCAUGAUGCACUUAUUACACAGAAUAAAAGCUACAAUAAAUUUGGA